rnacentral:rRNA from 1 species
UACGUAGGUGGCAAGCGUUACUCGGAUUUACUAGGCGUAAAGCGUAUGUAGGUGGUUGGAUAAGUCGAUUGUGAAAGCCCCAGGCUCAACCUGGGGAGUGCGGUCGAAACUGUCUGACUUGAGUGUGGGAGGGGAGACUGGAAUUCCCGGUGUAGCGGUGAAAUGCGUAGAUAUCGGGAGGAAUACCAAUGGCGAAGGCAGGUCUCUGGACCAAUACUGACACUGAGAUACGAAAGCUAGGGGAGCAAACAGG